CAUAUGAUUUGCCACGGUGAGAUAAAAUGGACGAAUAAAUAUCAUCUAUAAAAAGACAGGAAUAUCGUGUGCCGGAAGAGUUUUUCGUCGGACAAAAUUCUGAUCAGCUAGACUAUAAUGUACGCUAUAAUAUAUGCGUUGACGCGUAGACUGAUUGUGUGUUGAUAGCAGAAUGUUGACAGCAGAAUUUCUAUAGAAAGGUUAGAAAAAUAGAUUCACACUAGAAAGGUUAACAAGAAUUAACUAGGCAUAUCAAAAUUUACAUCAGAUUCUCAAUUCUCCCCCCAAAACUGCACACGUUAAUUGUCCGCUCGU